rnacentral:rRNA from 1 species
CCUACGGGAGGCAGCAGUGGGGAAUAUUGGGCAAUGGAGGAAACUCUGACCCAGCAACGCCGCGUGAAGGAUGAAGGUUUUCGGAUUGUAAACUUCUGUCGCGAGGGACGAAGAAUGACGGUACCUCGUAAGAAAGCCCCGGCUAACUACGUGCCAGCAGCCGCGGUAAUACGUAGGGGGCGAGCGUUAUCCGGAUUUACUGGGUGUAAAGGGAGCGUAGACGGCCAGACAAGUCAGAAGUGAAAGCCCAGGGCUCAACCCUGGGACUGCUUUUGAAACUGCCGGGCUGGAGUGCAGGAGAGGUA